GGAAGGAUCAUAUGGUUGAAACUUCUAAGUUUGGAUGUGAACUGCAACCAUAUCCCUUUGGGGUAUGGCCGAGUAAAACCCGCUCCCUUCGGGGAAAAGCCUAAACAGUGUCGGGAAGUUGGUUGUGCCCGGGGGAAAUCAAACCCCUAGCGAUGGAUGGCUCGACUCCUGAAUCGAAGAAGAUCACAAUGAAAUGUGAAAAGCAUUAUCAUUCGUAGAUCCUCUGACGGUGAUAGAUUAUCGAACGUUGAAAACUCUCCAAAAGAGAGUAUACUUGUCUCAGAGGCAGCUGGUAUGCCCUAUUUCAAUUGGGGAAUAGUGCGUGAGUGAUUAUCCUAGAUGGAUGAAUUAAGUGAAAGUAACUCUUGGUCCAAUAGUCUUAUUGGGAUAAGAGGACCCUCUAGUUUGGCAAAGCCAUGAGUCAAGUAAGGCAACCUGCUAAAUUUAAGCAUAUAAAUAAGCAGAGGAAAAGAAAUUAACUAAGAUAUUCCUAGUAAUGGCGAAUGAAAGGAAUAGAGCCCAAUUUGAAAAUUACUAGUUUACUAGUAAAUUGUAGUCUAAGGGUUUGCAAAGAUAACGAGCCAUGGGAGUACUUCCCUGGAAAGGGAAAGGAAAGAGGGUGAAACUCCCUUUUGCUUCUAUGUUUAGUUACCAAUUGCAUUCCUGUGAGUCGUACUCUUUCUGAGUAGAGUAUGAAUAGGUGAUACAUUUCAUCUAAGGCUAAAUAUGACCAGGAGAUCGAUAGUUCAAAAGUACCGUGAGGGAAAGCUGAAAAUAACUUUGAAAAGAAAGUUAAAAGAAACUGAAAUCGCUGGGGGGAAGCAGUUAAAGAGCCUGUCUUGGUAGAGCUUAGCUCUAUAUCGGAGUCUGAGCAUUGCUGCGCUAUUUUGGGUCUGCUAUAGAAUUUUAUCUGUAAAGGUCGAAGGCUAUAUGCAAACCUAAUCUAUCAACAAUGUUUUAGAUAGGGGAGCUUUAAUUGACCCGUCUUGAAACACGGACCAAGGAGUCUAACAUAUGUGCAAGUUUAUGGGUAGAAGACCCUAAGGCGAAACGAAAGUGAUAACCAUGAUGUGAAAACUGCAAUGGUGACAUCUCUUAACUUGUUAAGAGUUUGUAUGAGCAUAUAUGUUAAGACCCGAAAGAUGGUGAACUAUGCUUGAGUUGGGUGAAGCCAGGGGAAACUCUGGUGGAGGCUCGUAGCGAUACUGACGUGCAAAUCGUUCGUCAAACUUGAGUAUAGGGGCGAAAGACUAAUCGAACCAUCUAGUAGCUGGUUCCCUC
rnacentral:misc_RNA from 1 species